GAAAAUACCACUAAUUUGUGAGGUAAAUGUCUUUAUUCUUUGAUUUUUGGGUUGCUGGGAAAAAAGUAAUAAAUAAUGCCUGACAAUGACUGAUAUAUUUGACUUCAGGAAAUCUCUUACUACAUACAUGGUGAAAAUCAAACAUUUACUGUAUUCAUUUAGAUAUUUUCCAAAGUAAAAGUCCCUAGAUGUGUAUGAUUUAAAGGUCCCAUAUCGUGCUCAUUUUCAGGUUCAUACUUGUAUUUUGU